rnacentral:tRNA from 1 species
GGUCCUAUAGCUCAGUUGGUUAGAGCACCUGACUCAUAAUCAGGGGGUCCCAGGAUCAUGCCCUGGUGGGACCACAA